rnacentral:rRNA from 1 species
ACCACCUCAAAUCAGGCAAGAUGACCCGCUGAACUUAAGCAUAUCAGUAAGCGGAGGAAAAGAAACUAACCAGGAUUCCCGCAGUAACGGCGAGUGAAGAGGGAACAGCUCACAUUUGGAAACGAUCAUGAAAAAAGUGGUCGAGUUGUCAGUGAUAGCAUGGGAGCGGGAUUUGGAAAGGGUGAGCGAGUCUGCUGGAAAGCAGCGCCAGAGAGGGUGACAGCCCCGUGGCUUGCCUUGCACAAGUUUACGGAGCCAUGCGACGAGUCGGACUGUUUGGGAAUGCAGUCCUAAAUGGGUGAUACGUGUCAUCUAAAGCUAAAUAGCGGCAAGAGACCGAUAGCGAACAAGUACCGUGAGGGAAAGAUGAAAAGAACUCUUGGCAGAGAGUGAAAAGUGCGUGAAAUUGUCAGCAGGGAAGCGAUGGUGGUGGGGAGGUGUGCCAAGAGAAGCAACUUCGUCAGAAGUUGCCAAUUAAAAAGCACGAGCGAGGCGAGUGGAUGAGGGGGAAGAUAGGUGGGAAGAGAGAGUAAUUCAUUACAAUUUCUUCAAACUAAACCCCCCACACACACCCACCUCGCAGCCCACCACGACCGACCCGUCUUGAAACACGGACC